rnacentral:tRNA from 3 species
GGAGAGGUCGCAUAGAGGCCGAGUGCGCGCGCUUGGAAAGCGCGUAUGCCGUAAGGUAUCGCGGGUUCGAAUCCCGCCCUCUCCGCCA